AGGAGAUAAAGAUAGCCCUGUGGACUUAAUGGCUGAUCCAUACAGGACGAAAACAUGUUUGCUGCAAGGGCUGUGUCCCUAUUCCUGUACCACUUAGGAAACAGAAACAGGUCUCUCUAGCUGGCAAUCCAGGAUCUUGGAAAGCAUACCUUCUGGUGCUUGAGAAGAUAGGAGGGAGCACCAGGACAGGAAAAGCAUCCACUUUUGGAGGCAAGUCUUAUGAGUUCCCCAUCCCAACAGACGCCCAUCCAUUGCAAAGGUUUUCCAAGGCGCUGAAUGCAAGAAUGGGGUUCCAACACAGACCUUCUCUGGAUCUUUUCACUAGCACAUCUUCCCCAAUGACUGCAAUGUUGCCCUGGGCGUCGGGGUGAGUCCUUGAGCAUGGGGAGAGAGAAUCCCGUUUGCUCACUGAAGAGCUUAGGCCCUUUGAUGGGAAGUCUUCCAUCAUGUUUUGAACUUCUCCUGGAAGUCCUGAGGAUUGGUAGCAGGAUGCUCUUCUCAUGACCACUGCCACAGCCAGGCAUCUAGAAGAUGUAUCAUCAGCAUCUAAAAUGGCUUGCAGAGAAGAUUUCACAAUCAAUUGUCCUUUAAUAAUAAGUUAUGAUAGACAGAAAUUGAUCUUUUUGGUUUUGUGGCAAAUGCUCAAUAAAA